UCCAUAUCUGAUACCACCAACCACCCAGUCUCACCCAUUCGCUUCCUUCGGCGGUUUCUCUGAAAUCUCCAAACUACUCAUUUCUCUCUCCAAAGCCCCGCCCCCCUCUUCUUCGAAAUCACAACCGUCUUCUGUCUGGCGCCCACACAAGAACUCGUCACUGAUGUAGAGCCCGCUGGAAGCUUUCCCUAGAGAACAACAUGUCGGUCGCCGUCCCUAUGCCCUCGCCCAGUCGCCGGCUCGACUUGGAUGACCAGCCAUUCCUCAAUUCCAGGAUUAGAAACAUUCUUCUUCGAGUUUUAGGGUUUUGUUCUUCCUAGCUUUUUUUGGGUCAGGUUUGAGCAUUCUGGUUAGCAGGCCCGCUUAGUUGAAUCAGCUAAGUUUCAUGUCUGACAUCGACGUACUGCUUCUAAUGCGUUUGAUCAGAAUUUUUAAACAACAAAAUUAACCUGCAAAUUCAGUUCAGAUUAAGAUUUUUUUAGCGAGAGAAUCAAGUUCAAAAUUCAAUUGAGGUUGCAUUUGCAAAAGG